AUUGAACGCUGGCGGCAGGCCUAACACAUGCAAGUCGAGCGGGGUUUUCGGACCUAGCGGCGGACGGGUGAGUAAUGCGUAGGAAGCUACCCGAUAGAGGGGGAUACCAGUUGGAAACGACUGUUAAUACCGCAUAAUGUCUACGGACCAAAGUGUGGGACCUUCGGGCCACAUGCUAUCGGAUGCGCCUACGUGGGAUUAGCUAGGUGGGGAGGUAAUGGCUCACCAAGGCGACGAUCCCUAGCUGGUUUGAGAGGAUGAUCAGCCACACUGGAACUGAGACACGGCCCAGACUCCUACGGGAGGCAGCAGUGGGGAAUAUUGGACAAUGGGCGCAAGCCUGAUUCAGCCAUGCCGCGUGUGUGAAGAAGGCCUUCGGGUUGUAAAGCACUUUCAGUAGGGAGGAAGGGUUAAGUGUUAAUAGUACUUAACUUUGACGUUACCUACAGAAGAAGCACCGGCUAACUCUGUGCCAGCAGCCGCCGUAACAC
rnacentral:rRNA from 1 species